UGGUCAACACUGCAAGUCCUGAGUUGAGAAAACUUUUAAGAAGUGUAAUAGGUGUUUACCAGUUGUGUUAGAUUCAACAACAUGACACAGAGAGAGAAGUAAGUGAGCAGUGGACAGUGCAGCGAGUGUCAUCACGUCAGUCAAUUUGGGGAGGGCUUCUGGCUGUUUAAAAUGGUGUGAAUAUGAUAGCCAAUACUGUAGACAGCCAACGGUAGCAAGUCGACAGACUGAAGAGUAUUUCAGGGCCGUCUGCAACUACAAAAAGUUUAUUGAUUUAAAUGGGGGAAACCAACAAGAAAACUUUUACUGGGCAGAAAAAAACAUAUGGUGGAGUAAUAAAUCAUACAAUUUGGGAGGCUGGAAUGAUACAGUGAGGAUUUACUUGGAUUCAUUACCCAAAGAAAGAGGAGGGAGAGAGAGAAAGAAAGAAAAACUACCGAGAGAAAGUGACAGUGGGGGCCGUGGAGUUGAGUGAAGCGCUCACCCUUGAGAGGGGCAAAAGAUGACUGUUGUAUCCCGUGAGAACCAGGACGAGACUGCGGUAGUCCCUCCCCGGUACCAAGAUGAUUGCGACGUGGAGCGGGGCGACCAGGAGUGUAGCGAGAGGGUCGUCAUCAACAUCUCCGGGCUGCGCUUCGAAACACAACUGAAGACCCUCUCGCGCUUUCCCUCUACGCUAUUGGGAGACCCACGUAAAAGGAUGCGCUUCUUCGAUCCGUUGAGAAAUGAGUACUUUUUCGACAGGAAUAGACCCAGCUUUGAUGCGAUCCUUUAUUAUUACCAGUCAGGGGGAAGGCUUAGGAGACCUGUCAACGUUACCAUGGACAUUUUCAUGGAAGAAAUCAAAUUUUAUGAAAUCGAAGAGGAGGUCAUAGAGAUGUUCAAAGAAGAUGAAGGUAUGAUCAGAGAGGUGGAACGUCCGAUGCCUGACAACGAGUUUCAGCGCCAGAUGUGGUUGUUGUUUGAAUACCCCGACAGCUCGGGGCCUGCCCGGAUGAUAGCUGUUGUAUCAGUCAGUGUGAUUUUGAUAUCCAUACUGAUCUUCUGUUUGGAGACAUUGCCACGGUUCAGGGAAGAUCACAGCACAGACAUAGAACUCAGUAAUCACCUCAUCACGAAUGGGACUACUCGCCACAAAAAAAAAAAUCCGUUGACAGACCCGUUUUUUAUGGUUGAGUCACUUUGCAUCGUGUGGUUUUCCUUUGAAUUUCUCAUGAGGUUUUUAUCGUGCCCUAGCAAACCGGCUUUCUUCAAAAACGCAAUGAACGUCAUUGACAUAUUAGCGAUUGCUCCUUAUUUCAUCACCCUUGGACUUGAACUCGCUGAGCUACAGGGAGCGGGAAGCGAGCAGGCCAUGUCGUUAGCCAUACUCAGAGUAAUCCGUUUGGUUCGAGUCUUCAGGAUUUUCAAACUUUCCAGGCACUCCAAGGGUCUCCAAAUCUUGGGCCAGACACUCAACGCCAGCAUCAGCGAACUUGGUCUUUUGAUAUUCUUUCUUCUCAUAGGGGUUAUUCUGUUCUCCAGCGCUGCUUACUUUGCAGAGACAGACGACCCUGAAUCGGGAUUCACGAGUAUCCCCGCCGCAUUUUGGUGGGCGGUGGUGUCCAUGACUACGGUUGGAUACGGAGACAUGUGCCCGGUUACUAUUGGCGGCAAAAUAGUGGGAUCGAUGUGUGCCAUCGCCGGAGUGCUGACCAUAGCCCUACCUGUCCCUGUCAUCGUUUCCAAUUUUAAUUACUUCUAUCACAGAGAACGCAAUGAUGAGGACACCGCCGUGUAUACUCACGUGACUUGUGGUCAACAGAAUACUUCAUUUGGCGAAUUCAAAUCUACCAGCGACAGCAAACAGUCCCUAGCCAAAUCAGAGUACAUCGAAGAUGAUUCUCUCGAGACACUCAGAUUUACUAACUUUAGCCCAUAUGAACAUUACACUGGCAAGCUGACAGAUGUAUGAAAAAACAAGCAACGGCCUAGCUGAGCAGGGAAAAAAACGAUAUCGGUGAGUAGCCAGCCUGAGAACAUUUACGGGCGCUUUUACGCAAGCAGUUAGUUGGCAUGCAAUCUCUCAAUAACUUGAAUUCAUUUGUUGAAUGUCUUUAGUGUCCGGCCUAUGUGCAUGUUUGAAUAACUACACGCAAUUUUACCCACCCUAUUACGCACGGUGUUUGUUGGCAUAUAAUCUUAAAAUAGCUGGAAUUAAUUUGUUUGACACCUUCAGUAGGCCUAAAACUGUAUUACAGGUCAGUAGCGUACAGUGUUGAGUGGCUACAACAACUUCUAAAACUGGGUUGCUUUUGGAGAGUUUAUAAGAAUUUCUGAACUCGGAGCGCCACUGUGUGGUUGAAACGCAAUCGCGCAGCAGACGCGUCUCAGGGGACAAGAUCAAAGACCAUUGCGUUUCUGCUCCGCUUGAAAGGAAAUGCAGGCAUGGCUUUUCCAAUUCUAGAUGUACUUGUAAAUAAAAAACACACAUGACAUGUCUCCAUGAACAAUUGGCCAGCACAAUGUGAGAUGACAGGUGCUGAUGCAACAUCCAAUGGGGAGCUCGCUGAAGGAAAUACGGGUUUGGAGCCUCUGUCUUUAGGAAACCGAUAACCUUUGAAAAUCAAUUAACCUUCCAAAGUAUUUUGCUGUCCAUUCAAUGAACUAUGAAAUGACUACUGUAGAUAUCCUGUUGUGUAUUGUUGUAAAUAGGCCUAUACUGUAAAUUCUUGACUCAGAAUCUUAAUGCGAACAUAUCUUGCUUUGUGUGCCUUUACGUGGAUGAUUUGAAAGGAACUAUUUGGGUAGUCCUUUAUUUUAUUGAACUAUUUUAUUGUACAGAGUAUCUGAUUUUGCCAUAACCGUUCCUUGGGAAGCUAGUUUUAAAAUCACUAGUCUUAAAAUAACUUACAGGCCCCGACAGCUUAACCAUAGGAAUCGUAUUAAGUAUGCAUGUAAGGAGACAUCAAUUGUGCUCAUGAAAUGUCAUUAAGAUUUAUUUAUAUUUUUGUAAGAUUGUUCAAAUGUAUGUGAACUUUUGAAGAAUAUAUUUUUUUUAUAAAACAAUUCAG